AUUGAUGUAUUCAACGAGUCUAUAGCCUUAGCCAACAAGCCUGGGUAAUCUUUGAAAUUUCAUCGUGAUGGUGAUAGAUCAUUGCAAUUGUUGGUCUUCAAC
rfam:Vigna angularis cultivar Jingnong 6 chromosome 2, whole genome shotgun sequence.